GAGUUUGAUCCUGGCUCAGAACGAACGCUGGCGGCGUGCUUAACACAUGCAAGUCGAACGUGAUUGGAAGCUUGCUUCCAUGAAAGUGGCGCACGGGUGAGUAACGCGUGGAUAACCUGCCCUGGUAUCCGGAAUAACAUCUCGAAAGGGGUGCUAAUACCGGAUAAGCCUACGGAGCCCUCGGUCUCUGCAGGAAAAGGUGGCCUCUAUUUAUAAGCUACCGUAUCAGGAUGGGUCCGCGUACCAUUAGCUAGUUAGUGGGGUAAUGGCCUACCAAGGCGACGAUGGUUAGCUGGUCUGAGAGGAUGAUCAGCCACACUGGAACUGAGACACGGUCCAGACUCCUACGGGAGGCAGCAGUGGGGAAUUUUGCGCAAUGGGGGAAACCCUGACGCAGCAACGCCGCGUGAGUGAUGAAGGCUUUCGGGUCGUAAAGCCCUGUCAGAGGGGAAGAAAUGGAAACGGUUAAUACCCGUUUUCCUUGACGGUACCCUCAAAGGAAGCACCGGCUAACUCCGUGCCAGCAGCCGCGGUAAUWCAAGCRCGCACUGGAAACAGAUCCGWCCCAYGAUKMSGSMUYYWCWGSCCGUCGUURUACAGCCAAUGAAACAGCUAGAACWGCGC
rnacentral:rRNA from 1 species